rnacentral:rRNA from 1 species
UGGGGAAUUUUGCACAAUGGGGGAAACCCUGAUGCAGCGACGCCGCGUGAUUUAGAAGGCCUUCGGGUUGUAAAAAUCUUUUGUAUGGGAAGAAAAUGACAGUACCAUACGAAUAAGGACCGGCUAAUUACGUGCCAGCAGCCGCGGUAAUACGUAAGGUCCGAGCGUUGUCCGGAAUCAUUGGGCGUAAAGGGUACGUAGGCGGAUAAGCAAGUUAGAAGUGAAAUCCUAUAGCUCAACUAUAGUAAGCUUUUAAAACUGCUCAUCUUGAGGUAUGGAAGGGAAAGUGGAAUUCCUAGUGUAGCGGUGAAAUGCGCAGAUAUUAGGAGGAAUACCGGUGGCGAAGGCGACUUUCUGGCCAUAAACUUACGCUGUGGUACGAAAGCGUGGGUAGCAAACAGG